AUUGAACGCUGGCGGCAGGCCUAACACAUGCAAGUCGAGCGAGCGGCGGACGGGUGAGUAAUGUAUGGGGAUCUGCCCGAUGGAGGGGGAUAACUACUGGAAACGGUGGCUAAUACCGCAUACUAUCGGAUGAACCCAUAUGGGAUUAGCUAGUAGGUGGGGUAAUGGCUAACCAAGGCGACGAUCCCUAGCUGGUCUGAGAGGAUGACCAGCCACACUGGAACUGAGACACGGUCCAGACUCCUACGGGAGGCAGCAGUGGGGAAUAUUGCACAAUGGGCGCAAGCCUGAUGCAGCCAUGCCGCGUGUGGGAAGAAGUCCUUCGGGUUGUAAAGCACUUUCAGCGAGGAGGCGUUACUCGCAGAAGAAGCACCGGCUAACUCCGUGCCAGCAGCCGCGGUAAUUC
rnacentral:rRNA from 1 species